rnacentral:rRNA from 1 species
GUACGUGUGCGGUUCGCGAUGUCUGCGAGAUUUCGGUCUCAAUGGCACGCGUCCGCAUGUUUUUUAUUGCCUGAAUCGUCGGCGUGCACUUCUCCCCUAGUAGGACGUCGCGACCCGUUGGGUGUCGGUCUACGGCCCGGGUGGUAGCCUGUUUCGUGUGCGCUUUACGGCGUUACGCGGGGCAGACCCCCGGUUGCCUGGCCGGCUGCCCGGCGGUACUCGUACGGUAUCUGGCCGCAAAUAUUCGAACUGCGUCCGGCCCGUCGCAAGCGAGGCAAGUGUUUCCCGGAUGUACGGAUCUAAUGCCGUCACCGGGCCUUGCCAGCUGUUGGUUGACGGUGUCCUAGGACUGGCUAACAAAUUAUGAUACCGGUCGGCGACGCUACUGCUUUGGGUACUUUCAGGACCCGUCUUGAAACACGGACCAAGGAGUCUAACAUGUGCGCGAGUCAUUGGGAACUAUUAAGCCUAAAGGCGCAAUGAAAGUGAAGGUCGGCCUUGCGCCGACCGAGGGAGGAUGGGCCGCGUCACGAUGCGGUCCCGCACUCCCGGGGCGUCUCGUUCUCAUUGCGAGAAGAGGCGCACCCAGAGCGUA